rnacentral:lncRNA from 1 species
GUCCUCCAGCACGAGGGGCCCGCCCACUCUCUCAUUUGCAUACGAGCUCGCCCAGCGUUGGCCUCGGGCACACGGGCUUCUCCCGAGCCCUUUCGCCCCCAGACGCAUCGGGCCUCGGAGCCGGGCCCGGGCCUCUGGGGGAGGGGAGCUGAGCACGUGUCUACUCUCGGCCUCACGAAGAACGGUGGACAAGGCGAUCCCCCACAAGCCCCACCCAAAGGUGCUGGCGGGGAGCCGGGAGGAGUCUGGGACCAGGUGGUCGCCGAGCGUGGUCGCGGACCUUCCUCGCCUGUCCCCGAACCCCGUGGGAACGCGCCAGAGACUAACUCAAGCGAAACCGCGGGCGUCCUACCCCGCCCGGCCGCGCCUCGCCUCACGCUCAACGGGGGAGGCGGGACCAAUCAGCGAGCGACGUCUCCCUUCCGAUUCCAGGCCCCCGACGCGCGGCUCACACCCCGAGCUCCCCGCGCGCCGAUUGGUUACGCGUGCCGCCGGUCCGGCCAGGAGGCGGGGCGGACCGAAAGCACAGGGAGGCGGGGAGGCGUUGCCCCGCGACUCCCAGCGCCCCGCUCGGCCUCCCGGCCCUUCUCGCGGCGCUCGGCCUCUUUCCUUCCCUCCUCCGCUCCCUCCGUCUUCCGUGCGCACUCCGCGCGGCGCUUGGCCGGCGUGCCUCGCGCCCUAACGGACGGCUGGGGACGCCAAUCAGCGGGCGGCAGGGUGCCAGCCCCAAGGCUGCGCCGGCGAAUCGGCGGGGCUCGCGGCCGGGGUGGGAGGCGGGUCUACCGCGCGGCCGCGGCGGCGGAGAAGCAGCUUGCCAGCCUGCAGCUCGCGAGCGCCGAGCGAGCCGCCCGGAGGUGGGUGCGCUGCGGCCGGCGGCCGGGGCGGAGGGCGGAAGCGGACGUGGGCUGGCGGCGAGGGCGCGGCGCGCGGGACCGGGAGGGCGGCGGGCGCGCGCGCGCCUGUGGGGAGGAGGGGCGGCGGCGUCCCCACCCCCUCCUCGGCGGGCGGCG